AGUUCAAAUGACAUUAACAGCGUUCAUCAGGGUAAUCCAGCGAAACUCGCAACUUCAAUUGUAUUUCAGCGAAACCCAUUUCCCAUAAAAGUAAAAUUCCUAUUUUCUCCAUGGAGAUCUACAACCUCGACGACGUCGUCACUCCCUCCCAGCUCCGCUCCACCAUCGCCGAGGAGAUCCGCAAGUACCAGAACAUCACCAACCCCAAGGUGUUUGUGGAAGACAAGAAACGACAUGGUGUUUAACGCAAAUCUGUUGAGUUUCCCAUGGUGACGGUGCACAAGAUGAUGACGUUCCUGAAUCACAGGAUGUCGCUUCAGAGAUGCUCGUUCGUACUCUAAACUGUACGUUGUGAAGCUGGCAACCCCAACAGGUUUCAGCCUUGUGUAAACUCUGUUAAGCUUUCUAAUGAAUCUGGGCAAUGUCUUUGGUCAAUGAAACCUUUUGCAAGGUGAAUGCAUUGUUCUACAUGUGCGCGGCAGUGCGCCUUAUUAGGUUCUUAUGCACACCUUACAUCCCAUGUUAUUUUACACUAUGUAUAAUUGCACUUCUACUUAUUUGCUAGAAGUAGUACAAAAUGGCAAAUUUGGAAGAUA